UCACUGAGCCAAUUUGCAGGUCCUUUGGGCUGCACAGGCUUUUGUCUCUCUUUCUUGAUCAAGGCAUUUAUUAUAGUGGAGGGCCCCCCCUUCAUUUGUUUAAAUGCCUUCCACGUUAAAAGUGGAUUGUGGUGAUUUGGGAUCAUCAGUUGUUUUAAUGGUUAUUGCCCUUUGAGCUCAUGAUGCCAACUUUUGUGAGUCUUGGAAAAAUAAAAUAAAAUGGCAUGCCCUCGCAAUGUUGGUCAUUGAGGAGGGAUUGGAUUGUGUAGAGACAAUCCUAAGAAUUGAGAUUGAUUUUUGAGAGUUGGCACUCAGUAUCAUCUCUUGAGAGUUACUUUUUUACAACUUUCAGCAAUGGAUCUCUUGGUUCUUGCAUCGAUGAAGAACGCAGUGAAAUGCGAUAAUUGGUGUGAAUUGCAUCCAAGUAACUCUAAUUUACGAAUAACACCAAGUGAAUCAUCGAGUCUUUGAACGCAAUUGCGCCCUCUCGGUUGCUUCCAAUUCUUUGGGGGUUGACUCGUAGGGGGUACAUUUGUUUGAGGGUCAUUUGAUCUCUCAAAGGAUAGGUUUAUCCUAUCCUUUGGAUUUUUGGGUCUUGCCGUGAAUAUUGCUUCUUGGCUUACCUUGAAACUAUUAGCAAGCUUUGUUUGGGUCAUGUUGAAUGAGGCGUUUUAAUGGAUUCCAAUUGACGACUCUCAAUGUGAUGAAAGACUUGCUUCCAAUCAUCCCAUUGAAGGGAUAUUAUUGGCUCUCAAUAAUGAGUUCCAAAAUGGAUAAUG
rnacentral:misc_RNA from 1 species